rnacentral:rRNA from 1 species
UACGAAGGGGGCUAGCGUUGCUCGGAAUCACUGGGCGUAAAGCGCACGUAGGCGGAUUGAUAAGUCAGGGGUGAAAUCCUGGAGCUCAACUCCAGAACUGCCUUUGAUACUGGCGAUCUUGAGUCCGGGAGAGGUGAGUGGAACUGCGAGUGUAGAGGUGAAAUUCGUAGAUAUUCGCAAGAACACCAGUGGCGAAGGCGGCUCACUGGCCCGGUACUGACGCUGAGGUGCGAAAGCGUGGGGAGCAAACAGG